GAAAUGCGAUAAGUAAUGUGAAUUGCAGAAUUCAGUGAAUCAUCGAAUCUUUGAACGCACAUUGCGCCCUUUGGCAUUCCGAGGGGCAUGCCCGUUCGAGCGUCAUUAAAUCCACUCAAGCCUGGCUUGGUAUUGGGCGUCGGGGUUCUCCCGCGCCUCUAUUUCGCCGGCAGGCCGUCGUUUGACUUAGCGUUGUGACACAAGUCGCUAAUGAAAUCGGCGGACCGCGCCGUGAGAAUUUCCUUGGACGUUAAUCAAUGUCCAGUAAAGGUUGACCUCGGAUCGGGUAGGAAUACCCGCUGAACUUAA
rnacentral:misc_RNA from 1 species